GUGCCAGAUUAUUGAAAGUCCUUGUGUGAGUAAAUGGCCAGCUGUCCUUCCUGCCUUGCCUGCUCCUAAUAUUGUUUUUUGCCCCUGGAUUUCUCUGUUCUGCCUUGCCCACGUCGGAUGUCUCCCUGGCUUCUGAGUUCUAGACAUUGACCCUGCUUCUGCCUCCUGACUGCCACUCUCUGCCUAACCAUUGGAUCCGCCUGCCUGAAUCUGCCUCCCCAUUCAUGACCUCGUUUCUGUGUCCUGACCAAUGAUUCAAGCCUCUCUCUCAGAUCCUGUCGCCUGAUUCUGCUUCUCCAGUUUUGACCUAGUUUUUGUCCCCUGACCACUGGACUCUGCCUAUUCACUGGGAUUGCAAACCUGAAAACCCGUGUGACAUUGUUCUGCUGUCCGCAGUCCAUCAUACCGAGGAGCCGAAAUUCAGUUUCCUUAUUCUCCCACAGAUUCUGUAAAGAGAUUCCUGAGUCUACUGCCUGGUGGUUUCCUGCCCAAUGUCACUCAGAGCUUUUAAUAUGUCUUUUGAAUCUGUUGUGUCCGGCUAAAACCUCGUGUCCUCUGUACUACUCAUAACACAUUUUGCUGUUCUUGCUCACUGAAAAGAAGCCUCAUCAAACAUAUAUGCCCCUUUCUGCUAUUUCCCUAUUAUUAUUAUUAUUAUUAUUUUUUUUUUUUUUCUCCUUUCUGUUUGCCAGUUUUACACUGAGACUUUAACCAACAUGCUUUGCAGAGAGUGGUUCUGGGUGUUAAGAAGUUCUUCUUUAACCUCUUUACAUUAGUUCUGGUUUGGGAUUAAUUGCUAACACUAUAUAUUCAUAUACUAUUGAAUUGUUUGUUUACAAUAUGGGUGUGUCUUCUGUGGCAGCCAUCUGGAGUUCAGCUAAAAAGGAGGCCCGCCUCAAACCUACCUCUUAUAUAGGAAUUGAGCUGAUGAGAGCAGGAGUUUGAUUGGUGGAAAUUGUGUAGAAAGUGAAAGUAAUUUAAAAAAUGAUUUGACUUGUAAAAUAUGUAUCUGUACACAUACCAAGUUUGCUAAAUGUUUUAUUAUUGAUAAAGAAUUGUUAAUGUCUUCAAUAUCUAUGUGAAAAUUAA